rnacentral:rRNA from 1 species
UACGUAGGGUGCGAGCGUUUGUCCGGAAUUAUUGGGCGUAAAGAGCUCGUAGGCGGUUUGUCACGUCUGCUGUGAAAUCCCGAGGCUCAACCUCGGGCCUGCAGUGGGUACGGGCAGACUAGAGUGUGGUAGGGGAGACUGGAAUUCCUGGUGUAGCGGUGAAAUGCGCAGAUAUCAGGAGGAACACCGGUGGCGAAGGCGGGUCUCUGGGCCGAUACUGACGCUGGAGGAAGCGAAAGCGUGGGGAGCAAACAGG